ensembl:miRNA MIR147B microRNA 147b
CUCUGAAUCUAGUGGAAUCAUUUCUGCACAAACUAGAGGAUGGAAACCAGUGUGCGGAAAUGCUUCUGCUACAUUUUUA